GAGAAAUCUACUGUACCAGCACGUACUUUGUGGUGGUUAUUUUCGAAGAAAAACUGCAUAUAUAUUUCGUUUAAGGUUGCAUCGCCGCAUCCAACAGUCGGGGGCGGCCGGUGGGAGGAGGCAAAAGAAUCCGCAGCUGCAGAAGGAACGACGCAAGCUCUCCGCUCAUGUCUACGUUUCACCCUUUUGAAUGUCAAUAAUCCUGCUGACAACGUAAGAAAGGUGUUAAACAGCCCUUGCAUCAGACAUGCACCCCUAACAGCACAAGGAUUACAGACAGCGAGCGGGAGUGCGGUCUGCUCUGCCGUCUGCGCGCCACAUGCGGGGCCCGCCUCUCUGGCCGAGCCAUUGUUGCUGUCGUCGCCACGGGCUGCUUAGGCCCUGCAGCCCAGAUGGCAUAAAAGGGGAGAAGGAGGAACAAUCGGGGCAGAAGUAGGAGAUGAAACUACGGACAACGAAGACCACGAGAGCGACUAGAUCGACCCAGAGCGAGAUGAGCCCCCGCGAAAGACACAGCCACCGGCCACCGAAAGGUGCGCUGCGACGAGCAGUAGGAGAGGGCGCGACCGACCGGCAAGAAAACUCAUUGAUUGAAAUAAUAAAUGAGAGUCAACCCUG